AUGCAGGUCUCAUGAGAUAUGCAUGUAUUUAAUAUAUUUGACAGGUCUUUGAUGGCAAGUCCAAGCAGAUCUGAGUGUACGACUCAAAGGGCUCCCGCCAAGGCAAUGGAUCAGAGGAUCUGGAAUUGCUGAGGUACCUCUAGAGACAAACUUGUAAGACACUCACAACGCAGUCCAGUCUUCCGUUCCACAGUGCUGCCAUUUACUUUCGACACAAGGAUUGCUCCAGCAGAGGCUACCACGUUCCUGUUGGUUUUGGGUAACGUGAGAGACGGAAAAUGGUCCAAUUCACACACUUAUCAAGAGAACAU